CGGGAUGUAGCGCAGUUGGUAGCGCACUACGUUCGGGACGUAGGGGUCGCUGGUUCGAAUCCAGUCAUCCCGA
rnacentral:tRNA from 7 species